rnacentral:rRNA from 1 species
UACAGAGGGUGCAACCGUUGCUCGGAAUUAUUGGGCGUAAAGCGCGUGUAGGCGGCUUGUUAAGUUGGUUGUGAAAACCCAUGGCUCAACCAUGGAAGGGCGUCCAAAACUGGCAAGCUAGAGUCCCGACGAGGAUGGCGGAAUUCCCAGUGUAGAGGUGAAAUUCGUAGAUAUUGGGAGGAACACCGGUGGCGAAGGCGGCCAUCUGGGAGGGCACUGACGCUGAGACGCGAAAGCGUGGGGAGCAAACAGG